UACGUAGGGGGCUAGCGUUGUCCGGAAUCAUUGGGCGUAAAGAGCGUGUAGGCGGCCCGGUAAGUCCGCUGUGAAAGUCGGGGGCUCAACCCUCGAAUGCCGGUGGAUACUGUCGGGCUAGAGUGCGGAAGAGGCGAGUGGAAUCCUGGUGUAGCGGUGAAAUGCGCAGAUAUCAGGAGGAACACCGAUAGCGAAGGCAGCUCGCUGGGACGGUACUGACGCUGAGGUGCGAAAGCGUGGGGAGCGAACAGG
rnacentral:rRNA from 1 species